UUGCGAAAACAGACGGUCGCUGUGAUUUAAUUGCGCAGAGGAAAGUCCGGACUCCGGGAGGAAAAGCGCCGGGUAACGCCCGGCGGCGCAGAAUUGCGCCAGGGAAAGUGCAACAGAAAGCAUACCGCCUUCGGGUAAGGGUGAAACGGCGAGGUAAGAGCUCACCGCGUGUAUCGGAAACGGUCACGGCACGGCAAACCCCGCUUGGAGCAAGAUCAAAUAGGGAUAACGCCUUCCUCCGGCUAUGUUAUUCGGGUAGAUCGCAGGACGUUUGCGGCGACGCAAACGCAAGAUGAAUGACCGUCAGGACAGCAUGUCCGACAGAAUCCGGCUUACGAUUUUCGCAAAAGU
rnacentral:RNase_P_RNA from 1 species